ACUACAACAGGUCUUGGCACACAUCUCCACCAUCCCGCCCCCUUCACCCGAUGGCCCUUCCGACAGUGCGUUAUGGAAAUACAAAGAAGAAGAUUUCAGGCCCUAUUUCUCCUCAUCAAGGACGUGGAACUUAACCAGGACGGUACAUGUUAUCGCUCCUUGGAGUUCCAUUGUCUGGUUCCCCUUGGCCAUACCGAGGCAUGCUUUCCUUCACUGGCAGGUUAUGUUGUCCCGACUGCCGACGAAAGACCGUCUUCAACAAUGGGGAAUCACGUCAGAUGCAACAUGUAGGUUGUGCGAUGGGGAGGAUGAAUCCCAUCAGCAUUUGUUCUUCGGCUGCACCUAUGCUUCCCACCUUUGGCGCCACUUUGGGGAAGUUUGUUGGGCAGACCCACCAAGCGAUUUGGUGGGGAUUCUGGCGUGGCUCAGCAGACCGGACCAUGCUGCCUCGAGAAACAGAAGAAAGAUUGCCAAGUUUAUUCUCGGACGCAAUGAAAGAUUCUUGCUUUUCACCCAUGCAUGCAUGCACGCACGCACGUACGUACCUGGAUUGAUUCCAUCGGUGUUGGGGACAGUAACGGGAGCGAGAAUGGUAACGUCUUUGACGAUAAGGUUCUUGCAGUAGACGGGAUGAACAUUCCACGAAGGCGAAUCGAUCAACGUAAUGUUCGAAAUCUGGACAUCCUCGGAGAAGAUUAUCUCGAUCAGGUGUGGUCUCUCCUUGAUUUCACCCUUCUUGAACUUGUCCCACCAGUAUUGUCCUUGUCCGUUGAUCGUACCAUUGUUACCUAUGAUCAACGGCUCGGAUUCAAUAAUAAUCAAUAGCGUAAAAUAAGGGUUAUGGUGAAAUGUUGGUUAUGGGCAUACCGGUGAUAACCACGUCGGUUAGGUUUGUACCGGAGAUCAAACUAUUGAACCUUUGCAUUGGGUACGACGGCAA